CCUGUAUAGAGGAAAUUAAACCCAAAUUCACUCUCAAGGGCGUUGAAAGCUGCAGCUCGCGUAGCAACUCUCCCCAAACAAUGACGAGGGAGCUGGAGGGGAGCCAGGGUUCGGCAGGACUGGCAGAAGCGGCUACCAGGACUCUUCCUGUUCGUUUUAUAUUGCAAGGCUGGGGGGGAAACUAAAACAAACCACCAUUCCCACAGCCUUUGGGGGGGAAGGCGCUCCGAGGUCUGUACGAGCAACAGAGAGGGCUGAGGAUGGGCCCCCCCAGCUCUGAAGCCUGUGAUGCCACGCGUGCAGACAAGCAGCUUAGUGCAUCUGUGAGAUGAAGAUGGAAGAAUCCAGAAUUCCUGGUGUUCAGGCAUGGACCUUCCCUUUCCUGUUAUUUUAUUUAAGGGAAUUUUUGUUGCGUGGUUUUCAAGCAUCUACCUGUCUCACCCUCAGCCAGUGCUUACACUCAUCUGAGCAGCUGCUUUUCCUUAGAUGCUCACAAAAUUAUUUCUGUUGCUCCAGUUCUCUGACCCUUUAUAACUAGAGCAGCCAGAGGCAAUGAGAAUUGUGUAACCAUACCCCACUUCCCAAAUGCUUGGGACAGGUCUGGUAACUUUGAUAGUUAUGUCUCAUGGGACACACAGAAUAAAUCUCUAUUAGAUUAGGGCACUUAUAAAUAAACUGGCUGCUUGCUACAAGAAAAAGUGAAAAAGCCAUUAUUUUAGUUACCAGAUGAGAGAGGCAAGGCAGACAAAUAUUUUGCCUAAUAUUAAUCUAUCAGGCAAAUUAUGAAAAAUAAAUAUCCUUAUUUUACAAGUUAUCUCAAGCCAUAUGAUGAAACUUAAAUUCCUGCUGUAUUGAAAGCCAGCAAUUUAAAACCAGCAUGUCAUCUAAAAUCUACUGGUGUAUAGAAUUACCCUGCACAGAUGGGGCUCAAAGAGUAGUCAUACGGCCAGGUGAUAAAGAACUAAAAGUAAUGUUUUUUAUAGCAGAACGGCAUCUGUGAUAACCCACAGCCAUCCUCAGACACUGUGGAACUUGGCGGCAGAUUCACUGCUAAGACAUAAAACACAUGAUGAGCACGUAGUGACAUCAAAAGGAGUGCAAUGUAAUGGUGUUCAGAUGUCUCCCCUCAAGCCCACACAAAAGCUGCUCUGAGGGCUGCUGUAGCUCGGAACUCUCAACAAUUCCCUUUUGAUAAGCCUGUUGUUAUCAAAUCCAAGGAGUCUUAUGAGCAGCACCUCCUGACUUUGUUCCUCUGCGAACUAAAGAGCAUGAAGGCUUCUUCUGUUGCCUGAAAGACGUGUGAAGGUUCAGGUUUUAAACCUCAAAUCCUGUUUUUACUUCAGAAGUUGAUUGCACAAGCGGACAGUGAAUGAGUGUCUCCGUUUCCCUUGCGGUCAGAGAAGAUCCUAUUCAUACUGAGUUUACAAGCAAACACUUCCUUUGGUAAACUUCCCAUGCAAUUCAAUUCAUGUGCGUGCUUUCAGGCUCUUCUUUGGGUCUGGACUAACAUCAGAACAAGCAAGAGAGGCAGGCUCUCUUCUCAGCCCACCACAGCCUUUUCUGCAGUGCUUUGAAAUGAUGAAACACACUGUGUUUUCUGCACACGGCUGCAGUCCUGUCAAGUCACUGGGAUUAUUCAUGCAUCAAGAGGCUAAGCACAUACAUGGGCAUCUACUGGAUGAUGUACAUCCAUCCCAGAAUUUUACUUCCUUAACAAUCAAUCUGAUGUUUUUCCUCUUUAUAGUUACUGGCUAGGAGCCUAGAAUCUGCUGGCACCUACACAUAGGAUUCUCCUCUGAGCAUUCUGUGACCAUGUCGGGUGUUUGAAAUAUUAUGUAUUAACAGUAAGUACUUUAUGACCAGAAAAUAAAAUAUUAUUUAUGGAAGACUUGGAA